GACGAACCGGUGCGAACGUUGUUCGGAAUCACUGGGCUUAAAGGGCGCGUAGCGGCCUGCCAAGUCAGGUGUGAAAGCCCCGGGCUCAACCUGGGAAUUGCAUUUGAGAACUUGAAUAGCUAGGGUGCGGAAGAGGGGAAGCGGAAUUUCCGGUGUAGCGGUGAAAAUGCGUAGAUAUCGGAAGGAACACCAGUGGCGAAAGCGGCUUCCUGGUCCAGCACCGACGUUCAGGCACGAAAGCGUGGGGAGCAAAACAGG
rnacentral:rRNA from 1 species